UGGGGAAUAUUGCACAAUGGGCGCAAGCCUGAUGCAGCCAUGCCGCGUGUAUGAAGACGGCCUUCGGGUUGUAAAGCACUUUCAGCGGGGAGGAAGGCGAUAAGGUUAAUAACCUUGGCAAUUGACGUUACCGACAGAAGAAGCACCGGCUAACUCCGUGCCAGCAGCCGCGGUAAUACGGAGGGUGCAAGCGUUAAUCGGAAUUACUGGGCGUAAAGCGCACGCAGGCGGUUUGUUAAGUCAGAUGUGAAAUCCCCGGGCUCAACCUGGGAACUGCAUCUGAUACUGGCAAGCUUGAGUCUCGUAGAGGGGGGUAGAAUUCCAGGUGUAGCGGUGAAAUGCGUAGAGAUCUGGAGGAAUACCGGUGGCGAAGGCGGCCCCCUGGACAAAGACUGACGCUCAGGUGCGAAAGCGUGGGGAGCAAACAGG
rnacentral:rRNA from 1 species